rnacentral:snoRNA from 17 species
ACUGAGGAAUGAUGACAAGAAAAGGCCGAAUUGCAGUGUCUCCCUUAGCAGUUUGCUCUCUGGGUGCACAAUGACAAAAUCACCUGAAGCGACCUACUGGUCUGACCUCAGU